rnacentral:sRNA from 1 species
UAAUAGCCCCGGUUGAAACGGAAAUCCUUUUUUGUUUGCCGCGGCCGGAAAUCGCUUGGGAAAACAAAAAAGAUUGCAGUGGAAAACGGGUCCGAAC